rnacentral:tRNA from 1 species
GCCUAGUUAGCUUAGUUGUUAGUACGUCUGCCUUGUAAGCGCUAGGCCGCGGGUUCGAUUCCCGCCCGGGGCG